rnacentral:rRNA from 1 species
AACGCUAGCUACAGGCUUAACACAUGCAAGUCGAGAGGGCAUCAGUUUGGUUUGCUUGCAAACCAAAGCUGGCGACCGGCGCACGGGUGAGUAACACGUAUCCAACCUGCCUCAUACUCGGGGAUAGCCUUUCGAAAGAAAGAUUAAUAUCCGAUAGCAUAUAUUUCCCGCAUGGGUUUUAUAUUAAAGAAAUUCGGUAUGAGAUGGGGAUGCGUUCCAUUAGUUUGUUGGGGGGGUAACGGCCCACCAAGACUACGAUGGAUAGGGGUUCUGAGAGGAAGGUCCCCCACAUUGGAACUGAGACACGGUCCAAACUCCUACGGGAGGCAGCAGUGAGGAAUAUUGGUCAAUGGACGCGAGUCUGAACCAGCCAAGUAGCGUGAAGGAUGACUGCCCUAUGGGUUGUAAACUUCUUUUAUAUGGGAAUAAAGUUGUCCACGUGUGGAUUUUUGUAUGUACCAUAUGAAUAAGGAUCGGCUAACUCCGUGCCAGCAGCCGCGGUAAUACGGAGGAUCCGAGCGUUAUCCGGAUUUAUUGGGUUUAAAGGGAGCGUAGGCGGAUUGUUAAGUCAGUUGUGAAAGUUUGCGGCUCAACCGUAAAAUUGCAGUUGAUACUGGCAGUCUUGAGUGCAGUAGAGGUGGGCGGAAUUCGUGGUGUAGCGGUGAAAUGCUUAGAUAUCACGAAGAACUCCGAUUG